rnacentral:rRNA from 1 species
GGGGAAUAUUGCACAAUGGAGGAAACUCUGAUGCAGCGAUGCCGCGUGAGGGAAGAAGGUUUUAGGAUUGUAAACCUCUGUCUUCAGGGACGAAAAAAGACGGUACCUGAGGAGGAAGCUCCGGCUAACUACGUGCCAGCAGCCGCGGUAAUACGUAGGGAGCGAGCGUUGUCCGGAAUUACUGGGUGUAAAGGGAGCGUAGGCGGGAUCGCAAGUCAGAUGUGAAAACUAUGGGCUUAACCCAUAAACUGCAUUUGAAACUGUGGUUCUUGAGUGAAGUAGAGGUAAGCGGAAUUCCUAGUGUAGCGGUGAAAUGCGUAGAUAUUAGGAGGAACAUCAGUGGCGAAGGCGGCUUACUGGGCUUUAACUGACGCUGAGGCUCGAAAGCGUGGGGAGCAAACAGGAUUAGAUACCCUGGUAGUCCACGCCGUAAACGAUGAUUACUAGGUGUGGGGGGACUGACCCCUUCCGUGCCGCAGCAAACGCAAUAAGUAAUCCACCUGGGGAGUACGACCGCAAGGUUGAAACUCAAAGGAAUUGACGGGGGCCCGCACAAGCAGUGGAGUAUGUGGAUUAAUUCGAAGCAACGCGAAGAACCUUACCAGGUCUUGACAUCGUAUGCAUACCUCAGAGAUGAGUGAAAUCUCUUCGGAGACAUAUAGACAGGUGGUGCAUGGUUGUCGUCAGCUCGUGUCGUGAGAUGUUGGGUUAAGUCCCGCAACGAGCGCAACCCUUACUGUUAGUUGCUACGCAAGAGCACUCUAGCAGGACUGCCGUUGACAAAACGGAGGAAGGUGGGGAUGACGUCAAAUCAUCAUGCCCCUUAUGACCUGGGCCUCACACGUACUACAAUGGCUGUUAACAGAGGGAUGCAAAGCCGCGAGGUGGAGCGAACCCCUAAAAGCAGUCUUAGUUCGGAUUGUAGGCUGCAACCCGCCUACAUGAAGUCGGAAUUGCUAGUAAUCGCAGAUCAGCAUGCUGCGGUGAAUACGUUCCCG